rnacentral:rRNA from 1 species
AUUGAACGCUGGCGGCAUGCUUUACACAUGCAAGUCGAACGGUAACAGGCCGCAAGGUGCUGACGAGUGGCGAACGGGUGAGUAAUGCAUCGGAACGUGCCCAGCCGUGGGGGAUAACUACUCGAAAGAGUAGCUAAUACCGCAUACGAUCUAUGGAUGAAAGCGGGGGACCGUAAGGCCUCGCGCGAUUGGAGCGGCCGAUGUCAGAUUAGGUAGUUGGUGGGGUAAAGGCUCACCAAGCCAACGAUCUGUAGCUGGUCUGAGAGGACGACCAGCCACACUGGGACUGAGACACGGCCCAGGCUACUGCGGGAGGCAGCAGAGGGGAAUUUUGGACAAUAGGCGCGAGCCUGGUACAACAAGGCCGCGUGCAGUAAGAAGGCGUUCGGGUUGUAAACUGCUUUUGUACGGAGCGAAACGGCUCUGGUUAAUACCCGGGGCUAAUGACGGUACCGUAAGAAUAAGCACCGGCUAACUACGUG